rnacentral:rRNA from 1 species
UCAGCGGGUAUCCCUACCUGAUCCGAGGUCAACCUAGGGCGCAAUGUGCGUUCAAAGAUUCGAUGAUUCACUGAAUUCUGCAAUUCACAUUACUUAUCGCAUUUCGCUGCGUUCUUCAUCGAUGCCAGAACCA